AACAACAGACUUCUCCUUCUAUCACAUCCCCUAGCUAUCAUUAAAGGCGUUCAGAAGAGCUCGUCUCCUCUCUCUCCCUCCCUCCGCGUUCUUAUCAGUACGUUGUCCGCGCCUAGGCACCAAAGUCCAAAGCAACAGCCAUAGCUCGAUCUCGAUCCCCGGCGCGACGAAAGAAAAAGAAGCGGCGGCAGGUCGACAGGUCGAUCAACUAAGGUGGAUCCCCGGAGGCAUGGGAAGAGGCCCCUACCCGCCGACGAGGAGGAGGAACAGCCGCCACCGCCGCCGUCAGCACCCAAGCACGAGCAGGUGGAGGAGCAGCCGUAUCACCACCUCAUCGCGCACGCUCUGCAGCAGCAAGGAGCUGCCAGCGCCGGCGGAAGCCCGGGAGCAGAUGUGGCCGACCCUUCCCCGUCACCGGAGGCGUACGCGCAGUACUACUACUCGGCGCGCGCCGACCACGACGCCACCGCCAUGGUCUCCGCUCUGUCCCACGUCAUCCGCGCCACACCGGACCAGCAACAAGCCUACUACCCCGCCGGAUCCGCCGCUGUCUCAGGAGAACAGCAGCAUCAGCACGAUGCGGCGGCUGCAGCGGCCAUCGCUGAGGAACAAGGGAGGAAGCGGCACUACAGAGGGGUGAGGCAGCGGCCAUGGGGAAAGUGGGCGGCGGAGAUCCGGGACCCCAAGAAAGCGGCUCGUGUGUGGCUCGGCACCUUUGACACGGCUGAGGACGCCGCCAUCGCCUACGACGAAGCGGCGCUGCGCUUCAAGGGCACCAAGGCCAAGCUCAACUUCCCCGAGCGCGUCCAGGGACGCACCGACCUCGGCUUCGUCGUCACGCGCGGCAUACCCGACAGAUUGCAGCAACAACAACAGUGCCCCGCCACCGUGGGGGCGCCGGCAAUGCGGCCACUGCCGCACCAGCAGCAGACCGUGGUGCCGUACCCUGACCUCAUGCGGUAUGCACAGCUGUUGCAGGGCGCUGGCAGUGCCGGGGGCGCCGUCAACCUGCCGUUCGGCGCCAUGUCGCCCCCGUCGAUGUCCUCGUCGUCGCCGCACAUACUCGACUUCUCGACACAGCAGCUCAUCCGAGUGAGCCCGACGUCUCCCGCGGCGGCUAUAUCGAGCUCAGGCACAACGGGGCCGUCCACCUCAUCGUCCACGACUACGGCAUCGUCGCCAGGUGCUGCAUGGCCGUACACUGGGGAGCACAAAAAUAAUAAAGACUCGUGAGAGAUCAGUGGAUCGAAGGUGCUUGCGAUCCAUCGGGACAUGUCUUAGCAGUAGAUGAGGAAUACGCAUGCAUUCAUCAUGCAAUAAGCUAAUAUGACAUAUAGCUACGUCCUUGUCAAGUGUAACUAUAUCAACCAUGCAUUCAUGUGCCAUAGAGUUCUUGCAGGUAUGUACAUGCAGCAUUUUUCAAACUCAAAGUAUGAGAUAUACUUUCAUAAGAAAUAAAAUGGAAAGAACCGUAACGAGAAUAUAAUCUAGAAUAUAUUGUGAAGGGCAUUUUGUAUUAAGUGCACAUCCAUGAGUACUGGUACUAAUUACUAACCAAGUUUGCUGAAGUCAUCGCUUGCUUUAAUCACCAGAUGCUAGCACUAUCAUGCAUCUUUUUUUUUUGCGAGUAAACUACCAUGCAUCUAUAUGAUGGUGAUAUAUAGUGACACGAACAUGCAUCUGACACGUGCAUAUCUUCAGUUUCUAGGUAGUUUUUUUUUUGGGGAGGAUUUCUACGUAGUUUGUUAACUAGUACGGAGUAGAAUAUAUACGGAACCGUGGGUUUGUAAUCUGGUGCCCAUGUGUCGAGCUUUAUUCUACGUACCAACUUCUUGCCGGCACUUAUAAUGGGAUGAUACCAACGAAGGCAUGGAGGAACUUAUAACAUAUCAUCCCCAUCCCGUGCUUCUAGAAGAAUAUGGCCGAUAUUGUACCGACUAAAUGCCGAACUAUAUGCAUCCAACUGCAUAUGUUUUUCUAUUGGCGUGUCAACCCAACCGUCUAGCUAGAGUAUGGAGUAGUGGUAGUAGCGUAGUGUCCAGCUAUGAAGAAGAUACACUCAAUUAUUUGUCCUUAUCUAACACGAAACUGCUUAGACACAGUCCCAACGUUAACAUUAACUACUAACUCAUUCGUUAUUCGGCACAAAGAUUAGCUCGUUGGGGUGGCCAUCUUUCUCUUUGCUUUAAUAAUGGGUUCAAGUAUCAAAAUUUGACACGGAGGUUUCCCCUUGGGUUUGGUCGUGCUACUGCAUGCUACCUGGCAGCUAGCCGGGACAUGAAAAAGGGCCAGCUUUCGGUGUUAGGCAUGAGUUGUAUAUAUAUAGAUAAGUAACGUACGUACGUUCAGAUCGAAUUCAACUCAUCAUUUAUCAAAGGAAAGGGAAGGAUAUCUAAGAGUCGAAGCUUUUUAGACACGCUGUGCCCGUGUGUUCCCCCGGUCUUCCACGUAUCCACUCUGCAUUCAUGUAGGAUGAGAAUGACGCCUAACUUUUUAUGAUCAUGUAUAUAUUGUGGGAGGGCAGAAGGCAAGAUAGAUUAACGACAAUCUAACUUGUACUAUAUUCUUAUAAUCUAGCUUCUUGAUCACAAUCAUGUGGCAUGCCUAACUAGCUAAUCAAGGCCUAGACCUAACAUAUGCCUAACUAGUAUUAGUACUACAUAUAUUCAUAUGUUGUAAUCGUCAUUUGGAAUCCCAUUUUCAUGAUCGAACCUUGAGGUUGGUUCAAAUCGACGGAAGUUUUUGUGGUUCGGGCGGAUUCCAACGUGUUGUUAAAAAUAAUCUGGACAGUGAUGCGGGGACCAAUUGAUGUGAAGUACUACUUUGGUGAUCUAAAAGAUUUUAUAAAAGUUUACAAAGGGAGUACAUUUUAGUCUCUUGUUCAUCAUACCUCAUAUAGUAUGUAGAUUUCAAGCACAUUUACAUGAUUGGUGUGAUAUACUCACUCUGUCUCAAAAUAAGUGUCGUUGAUUUAGUACAGUACUAAAUCAGCCACACCCAUUUUGGGACGGAGGGAGUACUAGCAAAUUGUGAAUAGGUUUAUUUCCCUCUCUUCAUAGAGCACAACUAAUGGACGGGCAUAUCUGGCGAACAUUCACCACAGGAUGCGGCAUUUGCAAACAUUCGCCUGACAGUUGAGAACCUGGGUGGCUUUUUUGCAAAACUGCCAUGACAUCAGUUUAAUUUUACUAGUGUAAAAAGGUCACUCAAA